rnacentral:rRNA from 1 species
UACCAGCACCCCGAGUGGUCGGGACGAUUAUUGGGCCUAAAGCAUCCGUAGCCGGUCCUACAAGUCUUCCGUUAAAUCCACCUGCUCAACAGAUGGGCUGCGGAAGAUACUAUAGGGCUAGGAGGCGGGAGAGGCAAGCGGUACUCAGUGGGUAGGGGUAAAAUCCUCUGAUCCAUUGAAGACCACCAGUGGCGAAGGCGGCUUGCCAGAACGCGCUCGAUGGUGAGGGAUGAAAGCUGGGGGAGCAAACCGG